UAUAAUGGGUCAGCGACUUAUAUUCUGUAGCAAGGUUAACCGAAUAGGGGAGCCGGAGGGAAACCGAGUCUUAACCGGGCGUUAAGUUGCAGGGUAUAGACCCGAAACCCGGUGAUCUAGCCAUGGGCAGGUUGAAGGUUGGGUAACACUAACUGGAGGACCGAACCGACUAAUGUUGAAAAAUUAGCGGAUGACCUGUGGCUGGGGGUGAAAGGCCAAUCAAACCGGGAGAUAGCUGGUUCUCCCCGAAAGCUAUUUAGGUAGCGCCUCGUGAAUUCAUCUCCGGGGGUAGAGCACUGUUUCGGCUAGGGGGCCAUCCCGGCUUACCAACCCGAUGCAAACUGCGAAUACCGGAGAAUGUUAUCACGGGAGACACACGGCGGGUGCUAACGUCCGUCGUGAAGAGGGAAACAACCCAGACCGCCAGCUAAGGUCCCAAAGUCAUGGUUAAGUGGGAAACGAUGUGGGAAGGCCCAGACAGCCAGGAUGUUGGCUUAGAAGCAGCCAUCAUUUAAAGAAAGCGUAAUAGCUCACUGGUCGAGUCGGCCUGCGCGGAAGAUGUAACGGGGCUAAACCAUGCACCGAAGCUGCGGCAGCGACACUGUGUGUUGUUGGGUA
rnacentral:rRNA from 1 species